rnacentral:pre_miRNA from 1 species
GAUUUCAACUGAAAAAGUCAUCCACAACAAAAUUGUAUAACUCAUCAAGAUCUAUAACUUCUAUUUUGGUCAUUUCUUCAUUUGACAAAGUGAUUUGUAACAUUGUUUACAAAAUGUUCAUAGCUCUUAUAGUUUUAUAAACUAUAAGAGAGGUAUGUAAAUUUUAAGAAUUUGUUACGAUCACUUUAUCGGAUGAAGAAAUGACCAAAAUAGAAGUUAUAGAUCUUGAUGAGUUAUACAACUUUAUUGUUGAUGACUUUUUCAGCUGAAAUC